CCUACGGGUGGCUGCAGUGGGGAAUAUUGCACAAUGGGGGGAACCCUGAUGCAGCGACGCCGCGUGAAGGAAGAAGUAUUUCGGUAUGUAAACUUCUAUCAGCAGGGAAGAAAAUGACGGUACCUGACUAAGAAGCCCCGGCUAACUACGUGCCAGCAGCCGCGGUAAUACGUAGGGGGCAAGCGUUAUCCGGAUUUACUGGGUGUAAAGGGAGCGUAGGCGGCAGUGCAAGUCCGAAGUGAAAGCCAAAGGCUCAACCAUGGGACUGCUUUUGAAACUGUACAGCUAGAUGGCAAGAGAGGUAAGUGGAAUUCCUAGUGGAGCGGUGAAAUGCGUAGAUAUUAGGAGGAACACCAGUGGCGAAGGCGGCUUACUGGACUGUAAAUGACGCUGAGGCUCGAAAGCGUGGGGAGCAAACAGGAUUAGAUACCCUUGUAGUC
rnacentral:rRNA from 1 species